rnacentral:rRNA from 1 species
UUUUCUCAAUUUUUUUGAUGUUGUAAGUGAUUGGUUUUAAGGGGUGUUGGUUUUGGUUUAAAAAAAAUUUAAAAUAAAGUUUAAAAAAGAGUUGUGAAAAGGAAAAAGAGGUGUACAUUUGCAGCCCGCAAUCGCUGAGAGAUUGGUUGAUAAGUGGGAAAGAGUAAAGAGUUGUACGUUCAUUGAUAAGCUGUUUUAAGAUAAGGUUAAAAAAAGAAAAAUAUUUUUUUAAAUUUAAUUUUGUCAGUUUAAAAAACAGUUAUAUAUUUGCAGCCGCUUAGGGAAAUAACUUAAGCAAACAGACGAGAAGCCGAGUUAAAUUGGCGGAUAAAAGUUCAUUGAAAUAUUGUAAAGACAGCGUAAGAAUGUCGUUAGGAAACGAAGACAUUUUAACAUAAAGAAUUUUAAAUCGAGAGACGGGAUUGAGAGCUUAUUUAGUUGUUGUUACUUAAUAUAUUUAAAAAACAACGAUGAAGAGUUUGAUCCUGGCUCAGGAUGAACGCUAGCGGCAGGCCUAACACAUGCAAGUCGAGGGGUAACAGAGGAGCUUGCUUCUGCUGACGACCGGCGCACGGGUGCGCACCGCGUAUGGAACCUACCUUUUACAGAGGGAUAGCCCAGGGAAACUUGGAUUAAUACCUCAUGGUAUCAUUUUUUAGCAUUAUUAAAUGAUUAAAGACUUCGGUCGGUAAAAGAUGGCCAUGCGUCCCAUUAGCUAGAUGGUAAGGUAACGGCUUACCAUGGCUACGAUGGGUAGGGGCCCUGAGAGGGGGAUCCCCCACACUGGUACUGAGACACGGACCAGACUCCUACGGGAGGCAGCAGUGAGGAAUAUUGGACAAUGGAGGAGACUCUGAUCCAGCCAUGCCGCGUGCAGGAAGAAUGCCCUAUGGGUAGUAAACUGCUUUUAUACAGGAAGAAAAAAGAGUACGUGUACUCUACUGACGGUACUGUAAGAAUAAGGACCGGCUAACUCCGUGCCAGCAGCCGCGGUAAUACGGAGGGUCCGAGCGUUAUCCGGAAUUAUUGGGUUUAAAGGGUCCGUAGGCGGGUCAAUAAGUCAGGGGUGAAAGUUUGCAGCUCAACUGUAAAAUUGCCUUUGAUACUGUUGGUCUUGAGUUAUAGUGAAGUUGCCGGAAUAUGUAGUGUAGCGGUGAAAUGCAUAGAUAUUACAUAGAACACCGAUUGCGAAGGCAGGUGACUAACUAUAUACUGACGCUGAUGGACGAAAGCGUGGGGAGCGAACAGGAUUAGAUACCCUGGUAGUCCACGCCGUAAACGAUGGAUACUAGCUGUCCGAGACCUUGAGUCUUGGGCGGCCAAGCGAAAGUGAUAAGUAUCCCACCUGGGGAGUACGUUCGCAAGAAUGAAACUCAAAGGAAUUGACGGGGGCCCGCACAAGCGGUGGAGCAUGUGGUUUAAUUCGAUGAUACGCGAGGAACCUUACCAGGGCUUAAAUGUAGAUUGACAGGACUAGAGAUAGUUUUUCCUUCGGGCAAUUUACAAGGUGCUGCAUGGUUGUCGUCAGCUCGUGCCGUGAGGUGUCAGGUUAAGUCCUAUAACGAGCGCAACCCCUGCCGUUAGUUGCCAGCAUGUUAAGAUGGGGACUCUAACGGGACUGCCGGUGCAAACCGUGAGGAAGGUGGGGAUGACGUCAAAUCAUCACGGCCCUUACGUCCUGGGCCACACACGUGCUACAAUGGUCGGUACAGAGAGCAGCCAUGUUGCAAGACAGAGCGAAUCUAUAAAACCGAUCACAGUUCGGAUCGGGGUCUGCAACUCGACCCCGUGAAGCUGGAAUCGCUAGUAAUCGGAUAUCAGCCAUGAUCCGGUGAAUACGUUCCCGGGCCUUGUACACACCGCCCGUCAAGCCAUGGAAGCCGGGAGUGCCUGAAGUCCGUCACCGUAAGGAGCGGCCUAGGGCAAGAUCGGUAACUAGGGCUAAGUCGUAACAAGGUAGCCGUACCGGAAGGUGCGGCUGGAACACCUCCUUUCU